rnacentral:rRNA from 1 species
CGCGAAGAACCUUACCUAAGCUUGACAUCCCAAUGACAUCUCCUUAAUCGGAGAGUUCCCUUCGGGGACAUUGGUGACAGGUGGUGCAUGGUUGUCGUCAGCUCGUGUCGGGAGAUGUUGGGUUAAGUCCCGCAACGAGCGCAACCCUUGUCUUUAGUUGCCAUCAUUAAGUUGGGCACUCUAGAGAGACUGCCAGGGAUA